rnacentral:rRNA from 1 species
AUUAGCCAUGCAUGUCUCAGUACGAGCCGUAUUAAGGUGAAACCGCGAAAGGCUCAUUAAAUCAGUUAUGGUUCCUUAGAUCGUACCCACAUUUACUUGGAUAACUGUGGUAAUUCUAGAGCUAAUACAUGCAAACAGAGCUCCGACCGGAGACGGAAGGAGCGCUUUUAUUAGAUCAAAACCAAUCGGUGGCGGGUCUAACAGCCCGUCAUCGUACACCUUGGUGACUCUGAAUAACUUUUUGCUGAUCGCACGGUCUCGCACCGGCGACGCAUCUUUCAAAUGUCUGACUUAUCAACUGUCGAUGGUAGGUUCUGCGCCUACCAUGGUUGUAACGGGUAACGGGGAAUCAGGGUUCGAUUCCGGAGAGGGAGCCUGAGAAACGGCUACCACAUCCAAGGAAGGCAGCAGGCGCGCAAAUUACCCACUCCCGGCACGGGGAGGUAGUGACGAAAAAUAACGAUACGGGACUCAUCCGAGGCCCCGUAAUCGGAAUGAGUACACUCUAAACCCUUUAACGAGGAUCAAUUGGAGGGCAAGUCUGGUGCCAGCAGCCGCGGUAAUUCCAGCUCCAAUAGCGUAUAUUAAAGUUGUUGCGGUUAAAAAGCUCGUAGUCGAAUUUGUGUCCCGCGCCGCCGGUUCAUCGCUCGCGGUGUUUAACUGGCGUGUCCGCGGGACGUCCUGCCGGUGGGCUUAGCCCUUCCGGGGGCGGCCCAACUUCAAAUCCCACCGCGGUGCUCUUUACCGAGUGUCGAGGUGGGCCGGCACGUUUACUUUGAACAAAUUAGAGUGCUUAAAGCAGGCUAAAACUUCGCCUGAAUACUGUGUGCAUGGAAUAAUGGAAUAGGACCUCGGUUCUAUUUUGUUGGUUUUCGGAACUCCGAGGUAAUGAUUAAUAGGAACGGAUGGGGGCAUUCGUAUUGCGACGUUAGAGGUGAAUUCUUGGAUCGUCGCAGACGGACAGAAGCGAAAGCAUUUGCCAAAACGCUUUCAUUGAUCAAGAACGAAAGUAGGAGGUU